CCCACAGAAGCCACACACCAAGAAGAGCGCCGGGCUCCCACUUGCCCAGGAUUGAGGAUUGAACCCAGGGUCUUUGCAUUGAACAACAUGCCCAGCCUUUAAAAAAUUUUGAGACAGGAUCUCCCUAAAUUGCCCAGGCUGGUCUUGAGUGUGCAAUCGUCCUGCUUCAGCUUUCCAGAAUGCUGGGAUUAUGGGUGUAUACCACCAUGCCCAACUCUAGGUUCCUGGGGCCAGAAGAAGAGAACCUUGGCCUCUCCUUGACUUGCAGAAAUCCAGGCACCAUGACACAGCGGGCAGGUAACAAGGAGAUGGGCCAGCGUAGGGCUGCUGCAUCUCCACUCUGUCUGGCUAGAAGAGAACUCCAUCUGCCUCAACUUGUUUUCCCAAGGAACAGCAUAGCCAAUAAGCACUUCACAUGUACCUAGUGUUGUUCUAUGCACCAAACAGGUGUUUACUGUUAAUUUAUAGGUAAACCUCAAGACAACCCUUCAUAAAGCUUACCACCCUCACUUUACAGACAUCUGGAGGUAGAGAGGGACAGUGACUCACUUCGGAUCAGAACAUGAAGUCACUGGAAAGCUGAAGAGAAACCAGGUCUGACUGCAGUCCUAGCUUCCAUUUGCUACCCCAAAGAGGCUCUUCUCAGAGUAUACAUUAGACACUCAAUAAAUGUUUGAUGAUGUUUGAUCACUGCCACGUAAUGGAAAGAUCCCUAUCCUAGUCCAGCUCUACCCCAACUCUUGCACUUCCUUAAGAGAGUUCUUUUCCUUUUUAAGCCUUAGUUUCCCAGGCUAAAAAUAGAAAGGGUAAGUGAAGGGCCAGAUAAUUAGAUAACUUGUAGGUGGGGAGGAUGUAUAUCUAUAAAAACUCAUCUUUCCUGACCCGCCUAAAGAAUCCCAAACAUCAAGUUUCCCCAGGUCCUAAGCCCCAAUAACACUUGAGAGAAACAAACUGCCUACAUCUCAGCUCCACUGCCACAAAGAACAGAAAAAGAUCACUUCCCUAGUCCGAGUUGCAUGAUCCUGCAGGUGGCAGGGUGUUUCUACAGUGCCAUCUCACUCCUCCAUUUGUGCCCAUAGUUUCUAUAGCCUUACUUUCUCUCAUCAUCCAGGCCAGCCCUGGUAUCACCUCCCAGCACUUGGGAGGCUGAGGUAGGAGGAUCUCCACGAGUUCGAGGACAGCGUGGACUACAUAGUGAAUUCAAGGCCUGAACUACAAAACAAAACAACAACAAAAGGAAGGGCUCCAGGCCCUAAGGACUCCUUCCUCACAGACCGCUGAGUUUUGGGGCAAACCCCUGCUACUUCUGGCCACUCAGUUUUGUAAUUUGCUGAAAGAGGAACUGAGUUCCUCCACCAUCAUCUGACUAGAAUCAUCAUUUCAUCUUUAUAGACUGCUUGGGAAUUAUCAUUUUCAGCCCCGAUAUCAUCUGACCCUCCCAACAAGGUAAUCUCGUUUAUAAAUAAGAAAGCCUGUGUUCCCAAGGGAACAGAAUUACCCGUCACACAGCAAGGCAAUGACAGGUUGGGCUACAGUCUUGGGAUCCUCCCGAUCAUUCGCUGGUCUUCUACACUCUGCGACGCUGGGGCUCUGACUUUCUCUGACUUCUGGCCUUAUUUGUAAAAGGACAGUGUGAGGAUAGAAUGAGGAGAGAAUAAAAAGGGCUGUGCUUUGGAAACCAUAAAGGAAAGUAUCACAGAAAGAUAAGUGGACUGUUCCGUUACUGCUUAUUGCAGUUGUCUUCCCUAAGGCGCCCCCGCGCGUCCAUGCAGGGGCGCUCCGACUACGCAGGCGCCCUGUGGUGUUUACGGAAGCCGCGAGGUCUGGUGUUUGCAAGAGCGCUUCUCGCUGCGGGCGCUCCGGGGCACUCUGGCCCUUGCGGGCUGGCCCCUAUUCCCCUAGUGAUUAUAAGCAGGCCGGCACCACUGCUUCCUGGGACCCCAUUCGGCAUGCGUGUGUCGAGGCGUUUGCACUGCCUCUUAGCUGCAGCGAUCUGAGUAGUGAAAGGAGACACUGCGCUGUCGCCUUCGUCCUUCCCCCGAUUCCCGCAUCUUUCAGUGCUUCGCUCAACCUCAGGUGCAGCUUCUGGUUCCCAUCACCGGAAACAUGAAAGCUUCGGAGAAUCCCACUGGGAGCGCCGAAGCAUGGAUGCAUGGGUGCUGUAGUUCACGGCUAGGACCUUUUGGGACUGGAACGCAGUACAAGUCACAUUUCCCGGAAGUCCGAGAGUCAGAGUGGCGGAGGGGCCCGCGGCAUGUUGGGAGAUGGAGUUUGGGGAACGGAAGAGGGUUUUAAGUUGGUUGGAGGCGCUGUGAGGCUGAGGAGUCAAGGGCUCUGAACCUGGGCAAUGGGUUAGAGUUAAGAAUUACGCAGUAGCUAGCCUCAAAACCGUAACGUUGUUAGGGCUGUGUCUUAGCAAGAACACUACUGUCCGCAUUUUCCACACGGUCCCUCCCCAGCACUUGUGCCAGGUCGAACUCAAAGAGGUGACCAUUGCCUUGGGAAACUGUUUUCAUCUUACUGCUAUUAAAUAAACAUUUCUGCAGUGACAGAAAUGUUCUGUAUCUGCGCUAUCUAUAUCUAAUAUGGUACCCACUGGUGUGACUCCUGAAUACUUGACACGACUAAAUGCCAUGAAGGAAUUAAAAUUUUUACCUAGUUGAAUUUAACUGUAAUUGGUUUCAAUUAAUUUAUAUUUAAUGGCCAUCUGUGGCUUGGCCCAGCGUAUUGGACCGUUAGUAAACUAGACUGCCUCUCAUCCUCAACACAAAAGUCAACCCUCCCACACAUCCCACUGUACCCAGGCUUAGUGAAGCUUCCAAUCUUGCUGUCAACUCACUGCUCAUAACAGUUUUAGCAGAUCCCUCCUCCACUGUUUGUCCCUUGAUACCUAAAAAUUAGUUCAGAUUGUAAAAUCCUGCCCUUCUGUUCAUUAGGCUGUAACAACAGGACCCAGAAAGUCAGCUGUAAAAUUAGCAGGAAGUAAUGUUUUCCCCCAAGGACAUAUGACAGCUGUAAAAUGUCAUAAUGAUCUCCUGCUUUGAGUAAUCAUUUUUUUUCCUUACUGAUUAGCAUCGUUUUCUAAAAUCAUAGAGGUAUCAAAAACUUUGCUAUUCAAAAUUAUAUAAACAAGAACGAAACUCUGGCUUGGGAAAUCCAAGUCACUAACUGGACAGGAUUUACAACCUUGGUGAAACAUUCAGAUAAGGAGUUGCUGAACAUACCUCACAGCUGCUUUAACUUUAUUAUUUCCAAGAAAAUGGGACCGUGGGUCCACUCACUGCCCUACUCUGCUUUGUGCCAAUCAAAAUAUUUCUUUAAGUGUUACCUAAUCUAUGUGGUUGGCUGAGGCCUAAAUAGGCUAAGAUGGGAGCUGGGCUGUUGGCCCAAGCCACUGGUGACUCAAUAAAAACACUAUACCUGAUACUGAAGCUGGCCAUUGCUAUGCUUUCAUUGGUGGACAACAUGCUGCAUUUCAGUGUGCAUAUUAUGCUGCACACACCCAUAAAUUCCUUCCGGGUAUCUCUGGCAGAAGCCAGUGUAGUGAUAGGGCUACUAGUCAUCACCAUCAGCUUGGGCUACUGCACUAUCUACAGCAGCCUCUUCCUGGAUUUCUCCUUGCUUAUGCUCAGAGUUACCUCUCUCAGCUUCCUGUCUGUGAUUGUGGACAGCUUUCUGGCCAUCAUAUGUCACUCUGAUAUAAAACUUUGGUAACUGGGUCCUGAGCAAAAGGGCUCCUCGCUGAUCUUUGGGUCUUUGCCUUGGGCCUUGGAUUGACUUCAUUCCUGGGCUGUAACAGAAAAGACAUUACCAUCAACAUGUCAUAGAGAACUAGGAUGGAAUCAUGAAUGAAAACUGCUGCUUGUCAUGAGUCUCUUAAGAAUGUGAUCCUAGGGCUGGGGAUUUAGCUCAGUGGUAUAAGGGCCUGCCUUGCAAGCAGGCAGUCGUGAGUUCAAUCCCCGGUACCGAUAAAAAGGAAAAAGACAAAAAAAAAAAAAAAAAAAAAAAAAAAAGAAUGUGAUCCUAAAUGGCCUUGGUGGGGCAUGCCUGUAAUCCCAGCAUUCUAGCAGGUGGAGGGGAGAGGAUUCUAGAAUGCUGUAAUCCCAGCAUUCUAGCAGGUGGAGGGGAGAGGAUUGCAAGUUUGAGUCCAGUCCGGGCAACUUAGUGGCAUAGUCCCUGUCUCAAAACAAAAAAGGGGACAGAGUUAUAAUUUAGUGUGAGUACCUAUACAGAAGCAAUAAACAUAUAAUUAAAAUUAAAUAAAUAUAUAAAGUGAUCCCAUGAACAUAAUAUUUCAAUUUACUUCUCCCAGUGCUCCCAGUGUUUGUAAUGCUGUUGCUAUACACCAAGAACUUCCUGGUGGCCUUGCAAGAGGCUUAGCACACUGACUUGACAAACCACUCAAGGACCACCCUCCAAUAUGAAUAUCCUUUAGGUCACGAUGCUGGCUAUGCCUGGGGAUUUUCACUCUGUAUUGGUUACCAGGACAUGCCAUCAACUGUGUCACUCUUUUUUAGCUGGCUUGGCCUAAGAAUAAGCCCAAGGGAGCAAUUUACAUGGGCAUUCUGUCACAUGCCAAUUCAGUCCCAUUAUCUAUGCCUGUUUAAACAGAGACAUCUGCUACCCUUCUUACAAAUCAUCUCCAGGCAUGUUCUGUGGCAGGCAGAGAUGUCAAGAGUAUGAAUGGGAAGGAUGGUGCACAGCCUGCUCUCAGUGUGGCCCUAUGACCUAAGUAGUGACCUCUUCCAGGAGAAGGCACAGAUACAGAAUAAAGAAGGGACAGGUCACAACUGGCUGGUUGAAUUGUGAAAGAUAACCCCUUCUCACAAGUGCAUUGGUGCCCUCUUUUGAAUAUUUUCCUGGAGUUUACACAUUUAUUCUGUGUGUGACAUUAGUAGUAGGCGUCAAGGGUGAUAAAUAUAUUUAUUGUUCUACGCAACUAUUCUUACUAUGUGGAUGAUACUGACAAUCUGAAUGAAAGACUUGUUUUUACUGUGCCUUGGUCAUGGGUUUUUUAGGCAGGGCCUCACUAUGUAGUUCAAACUGAUCUUGAACUUGCUAUGUAGUCCAGGCUGGCCUUGAACUCAUGGCAGUCCUCCUGACUCAGCCUCCUGAGUGCUGGGAUUACAGACAUGUACCACCAUGUCCAGCUGCCUUAGUAAUAAUAGAAAAUGACUCCAAGUAUUUUAC